AUCCUCUCACCGGGGGAAAUCUCACCGGGUUUGGGUUUUUUCCUAAAGAGCAUCCCCGCUGGCGCCGCCCGAGGCGCCUGGUGCUCACCUGGGAGAGGCUGAUGGCGCAGCGGGGGGGCUGCACUAAUAAAGCAUAUGCUUCGGGGAAGCCUGACAGAGGAGGAGAGACGCGAAAGAGGUUGUAAAACGGGUGCGUGGCUCUAAGGGUGAGCAGAGCCGUCCUGUUUUAAUCACAGAGCUUUUGUCGUGCGUGAAAUCUAGAUCACAGUAAAACUCCGUCCCAGAAUCAGAUGGUCUCUGCCUGACGUGUCACUGUGGUCCCCGCUCAGCAGAAGUGCUGUAGUCUACAGGUACGGAAGCUUACAAGCAAGCACAGGCCUACACUGGAAUCAAGGAUUUUGGUUCUGUUCAUUGCAGAAAAUAUGGCACAAUGUUUGAUUGCUGUGGGCUGCAAGAGCUUUGCCUGGGUAAGUGAAUCUUGGAAGUCCCUGAAUCUCAUAGGAUAUUUGAAGAAGAAUGUUAAUGUACAGAUCGUUCACCUCAUCUGAUCUGAUUUUACCCAGAUGAAGAUCUCAUUAUUGAAACAAGAAUUCUGUACAAAUAUUGGGCUAAGAAAUGUAUGCAAUUAUCUCAAAAAGAUAAAUAGCAAAUGUAGUCCUGUAGUCUUUGGCCAAAAUGCCUGUACUGUGGAAGGCUGAAGUUGUCAGCAGAAUAAUCUUACCAACAUUUAAAUCAGAUAGUUUAGAAUGUGGGUAUCUUAUUUUAAUCUCUUCAAAGUUGCUAAGUGCAUGUAAUAUGUUCUUCCGUUGAUGUUAAAAAGUACAGGGAUUAGAUUUAUCUGUUAAGGAGAGACUAUGAGAUAAGUAAUUCAAAUUUAUGUAGAUACUCUCACAAAAUAUCAGCAUUUGUCAUGUUCGUACAUAGGUGAAGAAAUUUGGAAAUGUAAAGUAAAAAGUAAACAGCCAGUCAGUGACAUACAAAGAAUGUUGCCAAAGAUUAACAGGACUUUUGACUAGAGGCACUGCUGUAUAUUUGUUCCUAUUUCUUGUUCUUGUUUUUCACUUUUCCUUUUUGGUGUCUACUCCUACUAUGAUUGAUAUUAAUUUAUACUAAAGAUGGCAUUUUUAAAUAAAGUUUACUUUUUGUGUAGUGUGGAAUAUAGAUAUCUUGCUUUAUUUAAGAACAAUUUCAGUAUAAUUAAUUAAGAUGCCAGAGUUAGGUUCUGCAGUAGUUUCUGUUACAUUGCAUCAUUCUGAAUUUGAAAGUAUUUCAAAGCUAAUGCUCCAAAAUAACAUUCUGACUGAGGGGAUUUUUUUUCCCCUAAUUUGACAUAUGGUAAUGAUAAAUGUAAACAAAACAGAAUACUAAUGUUUUGUUGCUUAUUUAAUGUAGAAAAACUCAUCUAAACUCUGGCAUCUGCCUGCUCCUUGUAAAUCUGCUUUCACUCAGUUGUAUAGCUAGAUUUUGAUCAGUAUUCUUUGUUCUCUUAAAAUUUACAUUCAGUUGGGGGCAGGCAAGAAAUGGCCCUGUCAUCUCAAUGACAUACAAUGUCAAAUGAUUUGCCAGGAUCUUCUACAGUCUCAUUCAAAAUCUCCUGGAUCUCAGUGGGAGCUGGACUGGGCCAUGGAAUUGCUCAGUAUUUGUGUCUAAAACCACAGAAUUUGGCCAUCCCAUUGCUACUGAGUUUUUGCUAUGCACAGAGGACUAUGUAAUAGCUAUUAAGAUGAAUUAAUGAAUUACUUCUGAUUGGAUGAGAUUUACUAUUUUAAAUUAUUUUACUCUCUAUCACUAAACAUGUUUCUGUUAACUGUGGUUCACUUGUAAUAUUAGCAAAAGAUUAUUUUAUAGACCUAUUCGUUCUAGUAAAAGACUUACAACCAUUCUACCUAGUACUACACUUCAAAAUUUGCCUUAGUAUAAUACUAAGGUUACAGUGUUGCAGUGUUCCUGCGCGGAUUUACGUGUCUUUUUUCUGGUAGUGGCCUAAGAUGUGAGAAGGAAUUCUGUCAGGAACUCAGAAAAAUAAUGAAUCUUAUCACUUAUAUGCAAGGUAUGUUUCUCCAGCCUUGGCUUUGUUAACAUAAGCACUGAAGAACAUGGGUUCACACGUACAAUUUGUUUUCUCAUAUUAUAUAUACAUAACUAAAAGAAUCAAAAUCAAAACUUCAGUUUACAGAUAUCUGCCCUUGGAGAAGGGAUGUGAGAACAGUCAGACACAAGUUUGUCCAAUCAUUCAGUGCACAGCCAGGAAGCUGAUAAUGGCGAUAAGCAUAGAUAACCAGUAUAUAAUGAGGUAGAACUUUAAGAAGUCAAAACCAAAUAUGUAAGUACGUGCAAGACUGGUGCAACUGGGACAAAUUCAAAAUUAGUUUUAAUAAGUUCACCAGUUAUAUGUUCCACCUACCCAGACUGGGGCUGAAUUUGCUGUACUCCUUUCCAAGGCAAUUAGAAUUCUGUUGGUAUAUCAGAAAACAGUUGGUUAUCCUCUCUGCAAAAUUUUGUUCAGAUACCCAGUGUUUCUUUGGGGGACUGUUUCCCACAAAAUUAAUAUUUCUAAAUGCCAUUGGCAGCUGUGAAAAUCUCAGCCAGUAUCUAUAUAAAAAUACUCUAUGAGCUUCACUAAGAUUGCAAAUAAGUGGGUGGAACUCCAUUGAAAUAAAAAACUAGAAUAGAACUGAAUUUGACCACAUUUAUACCAGAUCUGGAAAUGAAAAUCACUUUAAUUUCAGCUUCUACGUUUCCAGACUCAGUAGCUCUUUUAAACUGGAGUCAUGUUCCUAUAGAUUACUGUUUCUUUUUCAGAAAAAAAGAAACUCUCCAAUCCUUUAUGUGCUCAUGGUUUAUUUAUAUUUGCCUCUUUCCCACUGGAAUGCAUCAAAAUCACAUAGAAUUAUGGAUCUCCACUGAGCAUUAAGAGUUAAAAGGGCCUUCUGUGUAACUGAGUAAUAGUAGCCAUUACAUAUGUUGAGUAUUCAUUGUCUUGUGAAGUUUUAGAUGGUGAUAAAAAACUGAUUUAUCAGUUGUUUAGAACUGAAUUAUUUACACAUUGUAAUUAAUUAGUCAAUGUCUUUCUAUGUAGCUAUGUAAAUUGGCAUCCCCGAGGCCUAAUAAUUUUAAAAGUUUCAUCCUCUAAACUUAACAGCAGUUUGAGCUAGGAACCUUAAAGAUUCUAUCUUAAAAAGACUUAGGCAGAUGGGAGUUAAAGAGCUGCUCCCAUACAUAAACUCAGUCAUACAUCUUGCAGAUGAAACCUUAUAUCUUGCAGAUGAAUCAAAUAAUUCUUUUAAAUCAAAGUUCUUUUUUCUACUUGUUUACAUUUGAAACGUAAAAGAAAUUAAAAGAGAACAAAACUUUUUCACCCAAUCUUAAAGAACAAUCUUUCUUCAUAACCCUAUGAAAAAUUCUCUAGGAAGAUUUGAGAAUGUGAGAACAGGAUUUUCCUUCUCAGUCUUUACAAGUGCCAGUUCCAUAAAAAGGUAAACAUUGGAUGAUUCAUGAUACAAAUAAACAAUAGGAAAAAAGAGCGUGUAACUUUUAUGUCUUGUUAUUGUUAGUGUUUUAUGGAUAACAGCCAAAUAGUAUUCACUCUUUUUCAAAAAUCAAAUGCAGAAGAGCAGAGAGUACUCGGAAAUAUAUAUGUAUGUUAAGUAUGUAUUUCAUAUUUCUAAAUAACACUGCCAAGCAUACUAAAUAUUUCCUAGAUCAUGCUUCUUCCCUGUUGGUUACAUUUAUAUGAACUGGACCCUCUGAAGGUCAUUCCAGUUAAAACAUCUGCCAAAGAAAAGUGAUUUUUUAAAGAUAAAUAUAUUUUAAAAUAUUCUGUAUAGAAAGAUAUGUAUCGGAAUGGUCAUUCUACUAUAGGAAAAAAUCUAUUUCUAAUUUCAGUAGACACAGAAUCCUCACAAUUUUAAAUUAUACAACAUAACAAACAGUAAAACAGUUCUUAGUCCAGCUUAUUAGGAAUGGCUUGAGUUUGCAUUUUGUUCUUCAAGAAUAUAUAGAAAACCAAGUGGGCCACAGACUGGUUUACCAGUUUACUUUAUGGUUUCAAAUUUCUGUAUUAUAACUAAUAGAUAAAAGCUGAACCGUUGUUGCUGUUAGCUACAGAUUUUGAACCAAUGUAUAAGUUAAAAUGGGAUAAUAAGUAAUGAUAAACAAAUAAUGUUUCAGAAUUUAAGUCCUGAAGGAAGGCUGGAAAUUAAUUCAUUCUACUCCAGUAUCCUUCCUUUCUUACUUCAGUUUGUCCUAUUUAACAUUAAAAUAGGGGGGAAAAAAGUCAUUCAAGAUUGCUCUUUUACAUAAUGGAAGUUAUUAAAUGAGCCUCUUGCAUUGUUUUUACACAUCCCCUUUGUCCAUGACUAAUUUAUUUUCAUCUGAAUAUUCCCAUAGGCCAAAUCGGAACAUGAAUUUUGGAAUAAAAGUCCUGGCUAAAUUUAAUGAGGGAUUUAAUGAGGAAUUUUGCUUAAAAAUAGACAGGAUUAUUUCAGCAAGUUAUUAGUACAUUUAAAUUAGAUAUAUGACUAAAUGGUUGCAGAAUCAGGCCCCAGUAUCGCACAGCAGUAAGUAAAAACGUUCUUUGGAAAACUGCUUGUUUGGAAUACCUUGUUAGCAAGCAAAUAUGAAUAUGUACAACAAAAUCCACAGAUUUUGCAGAUCUGCAAAGUCCACAAAUACUUCCUCUAACAGACAAGUCUGCCUUACUGAACCUUAUACAAUUCUUUAGUAAAUCUAGGUUAAACUUUCUUCCUUUUGGUAAGGUGGAAGAGCGGUCAUAAACCUUCAUGCUAUAGGGAGAGGAAAAAACUCAACAACUCCAAAUACACAGGUCAAAGGUGAUUGUAAUUUUAAAUCAGAAUUGUAAUUUCUGGUAUAGAUUUUCAGCAACUGUAAACAUGUCCUGAAGUCAAUAAAUCCAUGUUAAUUUGCAUCA